rnacentral:tRNA from 1 species
GGGCCGUUAGCUCAAUCGGUAGAGCAUCUGACUCUUAAUCAGCAGGUCCGCGGUUCGAUCCCGCGACGGCCCACCA